rnacentral:rRNA from 1 species
UACGUAGGGUGCGAGCGUUAAUCGGAAUUACUGGGCGUAAAGCGUGCGCAGGCGGUUAUGUAAGACAGAGGUGAAAUCCCCGGGCUCAACCUGGGAACUGCCUUUGUGACUGCAUGACUAGAGUACGGCAGAGGGGGAUGGAAUUCCGCGUGUAGCAGUGAGAUGCGUAGAUAUGCGGAGUAACACCGAUGGCGAAGGCAAUCCCCUGGGCCUGUACUGACGCUCAUGCACGAAAGCGUGGGGAGCAAACAUG